AAAUCGAGGCAAGUUCCUCGUGCCUAUUUUUGCAAAUCCGUUCCCACUUGGAUCCUAAUCUUUCUCUGCCAACACGGUGACGUCCGGUUGGUCGCAUAUUCGAAACGAGAUAAACAGCCAGAAGUGCUGGCCGGUCGAAGGUUGCCGCUUGGACGCAAAAGCGGCGCAAUAAGCUGUGCCGUGGCCGUUCCUUCGGCCACGUUCGCUAGCCUCUCCUCCGAUCUCCUCGAAUUUUCCGAUCCAGUAACGAAAAUUCCAAUUCCUCGUAGAAUUUUCACCGUUCUGGCCGUUUGCCAGUAGCCUUACGCGUUGUCUCGAGUCAUUAACUCGUCGUAUUUGCGUCCAGCCUCCACUCUCUCGUCCGAGAAUUCUCGAAACGAAUACAACUUGGUGGAGUGAAAACGACAAGUUUAACGCCCUUGUCAAAGGUCUGUCAGAACGAUCGGACUCGUCAUGGAAUCGUUGGACCGAUCGUAAAAGAAGAGGCAUCAAAGGAGGUGUCUAAUUAAACGCACCUUGACGAGUUACGUUCUUUAAUCUUGUCGAUUAGAGGCUACUGUUGUCCGUGUUUCUUGAUUGUUGGCGUGGUCGUGGGGUUGUUCGUUCAUGGAUCGAGCGUGAAAGUGAGAAAGUUCCGAGGGCGAAAUUGACGUGCACGUUCGUUUUCUGGUUACGUCGUGACGUGCGCGUUAAGUGGAACCAGAAACCGGAUCUCGAGUUCCGUGGGGGUUUCCGGCAGAUGUACGAGAUAUACAUAUAUGUGCAACUGAUUGGCGUAGACAAGUUAACGGAGAUUAAACAAGAAUCGAACGAGAUUUAUCAUGGAUCGCUGAGAAAACCGGCACACAGGCGUGAAGUUGGCGGAAGCUGACCGGUGACACACAAAGUGGACUCGGUUUGUUAUUUCGUCCCGUGGCUGGUCCGCUAUCGUGCUCGUUUAUCCGACAAAGAUCUCUGUUUAUCUCGAUUCCGAUCGAUUCCCUGUCACAGGAUAUCGAGAGGUGUCAACUGUCCAUUGUUGCCGUGUGUGUACACGCCUAUAAACGCGCGCGUAUAGUUUUCGGAGAAACGUGUUUCUGCCGGUCGAAGUGUUCGUUCUAUUGGCGAGUCUGUUUCUUAAG
rnacentral:misc_RNA from 1 species